rnacentral:rRNA from 1 species
AGUGAACGCUGGCGGUAGGCCUAACACAUGCAAGUCGAACGGCAGCACAGUAAGAGCUUGCUCUUACGGGUGGCGAGUGGCGGACGGGUGAGGAAUACAUCGGAAUCUACUUUUUCGUGGGGGAUAACGUAGGGAAACUUACGCUAAUACCGCAUACGACCUACGGGUGAAAGCAGGGGAUCUUCGGACCUUGCGCGAUUGAAUGAGCCGAUGUUGGAUUAGCUAGUUGGCGGGGUACAGGCCCACCAAGGCGACGAUCCGUAGCUGGUCUGAGAGGAUGAUCGGCCACACUGGAACUGAGACACGGUCCAUACUCCUACGGGAGGCAGCAGUGGGGAAUAUUGGACAAUGGGCGCAAGCCUGAUCCAGCCAUACCGCGUGGGUGAAGAAGGCCUUCGGGUUGUAAAGCCCUUUUGUGGGGAAAGAAAAGCAGCAGGUUAAUACCCCGCUGUUCUGACGGUACCCAAAGAAUAAGCACCGGCUAACUUCGUG